GGGUUCAGAUGUAAAUUUUUGGCAGGAAUACUUUUUAGGUGGUAUUGCAUACUUCUAUCAGGAGGAAAAUUAUGUCUGGAUGUCUCUGUCCUACUAACAGCCAUUGAUGUUCAUUGCCUAAGUGGGAUUGCAAAAUGGAAAAAAUACAAGAAAAAGAAAUCAAAGAAGAGCAGAAAAUAUUCCAGUGAUUCAAGCUCUAAAGAUUCUCAGGAAGAUUUUCUGGAGUGUCCCUCCAAGGAUUGAUCAAAACCUGAAGAACCCUCAGAAUUAAUUGGCUCAGAGGCUCUAAAAACACUUGCCUCUCAAGAUGAUAAACCUCUGAAAUGGAUGCUUGGACGCCCAUAAUAAACAUUCCUAACGAACCAGGCCUUCAGUGAUCAUUCUCCUGCCGUUGCCCUUGGUGGCGGGACACGAUAGCUGGUGCCGAAACCCGGGACCAAAACCUGGCAUCCGAGGACGGAGUGGAACUUCUCACCCUGCGGCGAUCCGAGUGGACACCCUUUGGAAGAGCUACACAAGUGACUGACAUUUUGGAGAGUGGACCAGCAGAACCCCGUUUGGGUGCCUGAAAGUCUGAUAUGCAGAGUUGAAAAUCCCGGAGUGGAGGUACAAGAUGAUCGCACUGCUUCUGCUCCUGCCAUGGAUCCUACAGCAGGCGACGGUGGAGUCGAGCUGCAGCUGCAGCCACCGCCGCGCUGACUAUCACCAUUCCUACGGCAGAGAUGCUGAAUGGUCUGUCCCAGGCCACUGCCUCAGCAAUGACAAUGCAGAACGUCAUCAAAGGCCAUUUUAAGAAUGGGAUGGCCUUGGUCAACCAACGCAUGAACCUUCUUCAAGAACAAUUGGCCCUCUUGGGGGAGGUUUUGUCUGUGGGCUGCGUCCAUUCUUAUAUGGGGGUGUAUUACUGGUAUUCCUUUUCAUAAUUAUUCUAAAGCUGCCAACUUCUCCAGACAGGCAAGAUGUUAACCACAAAUUGGUCCAGUGAGCUUGAUGAGCUCACCACUCAGCUACUGUUAGAAAUUUUGAAUGUUAGCUCCAAGAAGGUAGAGAUGCUAUCCGUAGCUCAAAUAGCUGAAGCUGUGUUAAACGCCACCAAAGCCUGGUCAGGUGUAGGUGUCAUAGGAAUAUUGCUAAUUAUGGGCCUCCUCCUGCUUGGGAGGAAAGUCUGUUCCAUACA